GACGAACCACCCAAACGUUAUUCGGAAUUACUGGGCUUAAAGGGUGCGUAGGCGGCGCGGCAAGUUGGAUGUGAAAUCCCUCGGCUCAACCGAGGAACUGCGUUCAAAACUACCGUGCUCGAGGAAGACAGAGGUAAGCGGAACUUCGGGUGGAGCGGUGAAAUGCGUUGAUAUCCGAAGGAACACCGGUGGCGAAAGCGGCUUACUGGGUCUUUUCUGACGCUGAUGCACGAAAGCUAGGGGAGCAAACGGG
rnacentral:rRNA from 1 species